UGCGACGUGACGUCAGAGAGGAGGAGGAAGGGGAGGAAAAGAAGGAAGGAAAGAUAGAGAGGCCAACCAGACGCCCGUUCGGUUUGCUACCCUACAAGAGGGAAGAGGUUUAAGGGAGUAAA
rnacentral:lncRNA from 1 species